rnacentral:rRNA from 1 species
GAUGAACGCUGGCGGCGUGCCUAAUACAUGCAAGUCGAGCGAACAGAUAAGGAGCUUGCUCCUCUGACGUUAGCGGCGGACGGGUGAGUAACACGUGGAUAACCUACCUAUAAGACUGGGAUAACUUCGGGAAACCGGAGCUAAUACCGGAUAAUAUAUUGAACCGCAUGGUUCAAUAGUGAAAUACGGUUUUGCUGUCACUUAUAGAUUGAUCCGCGCCGCAUUAGCUAGUUGGUAAGGUAACGGCUUACCAAGGCGACGAUGCGUAGCCGACCUUAGCGUGUGACACGCCACACUGGGCCUGCACCACGCUCCAGACUCCUACGCGAGGCAGCAGCAGGGAAUCUUCCGCAACGGGCGAAAGCCUGACGGAGCAACGCCGCGUGAGUGAUGAAGGUCUUCGGAUCGUAAAACUCUGUUAUUAGGGAAGAACAAAUGUGUAAGUAACUAUGCACGUCUUGACGGUACCUAAUCAGAAAGCCACGGCUAACUCCGUG